rnacentral:lncRNA from 1 species
CCCCCCCACACCCCUCCCGUCCCUCCUCCACUCACUGGCCCAAGAGAGGCUCUGGAGGCUCCAUGGCGUCAGCUCCACAAGCAGAACUGCCCCUGGGCUUGUUCCCCGUGGUCUGGCUGUCACAAAGCUGGGGCCAUCUAGUUCUGAAUGUCAAGUGAAAGGACAGGUCAAUGCUUCACCUGGAGAAGGGCACGCCCGCCAGCCCCACUUCUACCACUGUCCCCACCCAGGCCACAGCCCUGGCCAAGCAGAGGCAGAGGCCCAGGUUCAGGGAAGGGCGCAAUUGACCCCGGCCACCUAGUGAGGGAGGGGCAGGGGGUCUUCUCCCCACUCACUACUGAGAGCCUAGAGGCCAGAGAGAAGCCAGGAGCCCCAGCCAGACUGCCUGGGGCCACACAGGAGCCCUGCCUUAGCAGGGUGUGGAGGUGACAGCUUGAGGAGAAGGCAGGCCAGUAGCUUUCUAGGGAGUCAUGGCCCUGGCCACAGGGCAGGACAGACAGACUCUGCCCUUUAGUACACCAUCUGCACUGCUCUCCAAACCAGCCACGACCCUAGGCCCUCACAGCCGCCUCCUCCAGCCUGGGACGUUCCCAGGAGCAAAUUCCCACUCCCGCUCCAGCCAGCAUGGUCGGGGAACCAGGCCAACCUCAGCUCUGAUCUCAGCUCCAGCCGACUGUGUGACCUUCGGUAAGUCACUUUCCCUCUCUGUGUCAGGCUAGCUCUGGUCUUCAGAAUCACCCGGGACUGAAGAAAACGCAUGUUCUUGGCACAUCCAUAGCGGUUCUGGGUUGAUGUGUGUACUUAGAAACGCCUGCUGCUCGCCCUUUGGGGACAUGGCCAUGAAGGAUUGUGUGUGGCUGGAAGCACCCUGUGGAGUCCCUGGAUGGACCAUAUCACUGCUCUGGACCUCGGUCUUCUUCCCUAUGAAGAACCCUCAGAGAAUCCUGUGGGUGUUAACAGGUCCCAUGGGGAUGACAUGGUGACGGUGCCUGGCCACAUGGCCAAGAACUCCAAAGGGACAGGGCUCAGGGGUUCAGCUCUGCCAUGAGCCACAGCUGGACAAGACGGAGGUCCGUUUUCCCCUGGUCUGUCUGCGGGCAGCCUGGGGCACUGGGUGCCCUGACCCACGAGGGAAGGCCUCUCUGCGGUGGACAGAGCCCCUGCCCCGGGGGAAGGGGAUGCUCCAGCAGAAGCCUGGCCUCCCUUCCUGCUGCUCACACUGUCAGCUGUGAGCAGGCCUCUCCGGGCCUCAGUGUCCUGUCUGUGAGGUGGGUGUGAUGAUACACCCAGUCCAGAAGAAGCCCAUGAGUAGCUGGGCAUGGCCGUUCCCAGGGACCCUCCUCUCCCUUCCUCCCUGCUGGUGCAGGCAACCUUCCAUGAGAGAAGGUGCCCAAUGUUGGCUGCUCCAGUCCUUCCACAGCGAAGGCAUUACCCUGGGCUCAAUCCUAGAUGAGGUAAGCUGGGAGGAAGAGACUUCCAUGAAAAAUACCCCAACGCUGUUUUUGGAUAUACGAGGGUAUGUUGUCCAGUGCUGUGGCAGCCCUCUUGUGACCUUGAGGAGGCAAGCCUAAGGAAGAAAUUGUUCUUGAUCCUAACGUUGAGCUGCUAAAUUAGCCAUCCUCUGGCUCUGUUAAUAACAUCAUAAGACAUUGUAUGCCUUUGCACACUUUGGCUGGUUACUUACAGUCAAAGCAUCCUAACUGACACAAAGGCUCAGCAUUAUUGGGUACCCACCUGCCUGGCCAGCCUCAUUUUCCACCACUGCCCUGCUGAAGCAUCUCUGAGUGACGCUGCUUCCUCUGUUUGAACUGCUUCCUGGGAGGCCACCUUGGCCUCCUCUAAUUGGUGAACUCCUGUCCUGGGAACAGGUGCCCACAGAUCCUCAUGGCCUGGCUGUCCUCCACCCAGACACCGGAGAGGACACCUGAGGUCCCCAGCUGCUGGGGACAGAGCCGGGCUCGGCACCCCGCAGGGAAGCUGGGUGCCCUCCAGAGCCUUAGACAGCCACUCAGAUCCACAUGACAAGACGGGAGGGAGGCAGGGCAGGGAGCCGCACAAUGCCACCGCCAGCCACCGAGGAGGGGGUGGCGUAGAGCGGGGAGCGGCAGGAUCCCGCCCCCAAUCACGAGGAUCACCCCUGCACACGUCCCUCAGCCUGGGGACCUGGGGAGGUGAGGGGACAGGCAAGGGAGGGAGGUCUGGCCUCAGCCUGGGCAGAGGCGAG